GCCCAGGUAGCUCAGCUGGUGGAGCAUGAGGCUCUUAAUCACAAGGUCGUGGGUUUGAGCCCCAUGGUGGGCA